AUAACCUUUAUUCUGCUUCAGCUGGCUCUUUACCAGCAGUGAAGAUCCCAAAGAAAAGAGGGCGGAAACCCGGGUACAAGAAACCUAAGGCAACAACAAAGACAAAUGCCCUGCCAGAGAACAGCUUGGAUAGGUUGCAACAGACAGAGAACCCCCCCAUUCCACUGGGGAGAGAUCAAGUCUCGGGUUCUCAUGACUCCCUUAGCCCUCUCACCUCCGCGGAGUACCCCAGAGCCCGACCUCAGCUCCAUCCCUCAGGAUGCAGCCACGGUCCCCAGCUUGGCGGCCCCACAGGCUCUCACAGUCUGCCUCUACAUCAACAAGCAGGCCAAUGCGGGGCCCUAUCUGGAGAGGAAGAAGGUGCAGCAGCUCCCAGAGCAUUUUGGGCCCGAGCGGCCAUCGGCGGUGCUGCAGCAGGCCGUCCAAGCCUGCAUCGACUGCGCCCACCAGCAGAAGCUGGUCUUCUCCCUGGUCAAGCAGGGCUACGGUGGCGAGAUGGUGUCAGUCUCGGCUUCCUUUGACGGCAAACAGCACCUGCGGAGCCUGCCUGUGGUGAACAGCGUUGGCUAUGUCCUCCGCUUCCUUGCGAAGCUGUGCCGAAGCCUCCUGUGCGACGACCUCUUCAGCCACCAGCCCUUCCCCAGGGGCUGCAGUGCCUCUGAGAAAGUUCAGGAGAAAGAGGAAGGGAGGAUGGAAUCAGCCAAGACAGUCACCACCGAAGAGUAUCUGGUGAACCCUGUGGGCAUGAACCGCUACGGUGUGGACACCUCCGCCUCCACCUUUAACCACAGGGGCUCCUUGCCCCCCUCCUCCUCGCUGUACUGCAAGAGGCAGAACUCUGGAGACAGCCACCUUGGGAGUGGUCCUGCUGCCACUGCUGGUGGUCCCCGCACCAGCCCCAUGUCUUCUGGUGGCCCCUCGGCACCUGGGCUGAGGCCCCCAGCCUCCAGCCCCAAGAGAAAUGCGACCUCUCUUGAAGGAAACAGAUGUGGUAAUGUAAUGCAUGCAUCAGCUUCCCACUGACUUAACAACCCUUGCCCUUGCGUGGGGAGCACAGCAUCUGGGGAAGAGGGAGUGUGGCUGUUUAAACAUGGGACUGCUGGGAGAUCAGAAAUUUCCACGAGCCCUUUCAUGGAUCUUGAGGUUCUCAAAAACAGCCAAACUCAACCUUUGAUAAGCAAAGAAAGUCGUGUAUUAGGGUAGGCUAGGCCACAGGAUACAUAGACUCCAAAAUGUGCACAGGCUCAAAUACCAUAGAAAUUUUUGUUCAAGAGCUGAAGGUGAAUGUUCCUGAUUCAUGGAUGCAUCUCAAUAUAGGGACACAGGCUUCAUCUAUUUUGUGGCUCUGCCACCCUCUACAGCCUUCGUGCCCCAUGCAUUUAGGGAAUAGAAAGGGAAAGAAGGUGUGGAGAAGGCACAGGUGCUUCCCUGCAAUCUGAAAGUGAUGCUCAUCACUUCGACUCACAUCUCAUUGGCAAAUCUGGUCAUUUUGCCACACUUAACCGUAAGGGACUCUGGGAGCUGUAGUUUAGCUCUGCCCAGGAGAAAGGAGAACCAGACCUUGGUAAAGAAUUGUCUCUUGCAUAGGAGGUGUCACUUUCAGGAUACAAAUACAUGAGCAGAAGCAGAGUUAGGCAAAAUUCCCCCAGUGCUGGUUGUAAUGCCACUUCUGUCUCGUCCACUAAAGAAAGUUUGUUGGAAUGCAAUCUACAAAAGCGCUAUGAGGGCUAAAGGAUUAUAGUAAUAGCUGGAAGCCCCUUCUGAUUGAUGUUUUAAAAAUCAUUUUCAAGCUUCAGUAUUUUGAUAGUGCAUAAAGGCCAUAGAGUAUAGUGGAUAAUCACUGGGACUUGAGCCAGACAGCCUGGGCUGAGAUGCUGGAUCUGCUGCUUCCUGCCUACCUUUUGCAAGUCUUAACUUACCUGUGCUUCAGUUUCCUCACCUAUAAAAUUGCGAUAAUAAUAAU
rnacentral:sRNA from 1 species